CUGGCCCCUGUCCACUGUCAGAUAGUUGGGAGUGAGGUGGUCUUCGCAGUGAUUAAGCACAGAUUUUGCAGAGAAGGGAGAAAGCGUCGUGGGCAAGGACCUGUGGACUGAAAGUCAGAGUAACUGUAAUGCAAUGCCAUCACCCCACCUCACAGCUCAGAGCCUUUGCACAUCUCAUGGGCUGCCUGGAGCCUACACAGUUCGCAGAGUGGAAAAAGGAACUGAAGAAGCAAAAAUAAAUAUUGAAUCACGUAAGAAUUAAAUAUCACCUAUUUAAAUAGCAAUUACGCCGCUAAAAACAAGAUCACCACACCUGUACAAGAAAAGACAAGCAAGCCCAAAACAUCUGUUUGCAUCCACCUGCCAAGCACCUGUUCCGCUGUUUCAAUGCCAUUUGAUUGCUGGAGAUGUAGAGGCUCUUGUGAGGCCGGUCGUCUCACAGGGAACUGUAUGCAGAAUCCAUCAGCCCACGCUCCUCAUCACAAACUCAGUUGUUCUUUGAGACCAUCUCCCAGAGAUGAGGAAGAUGUGUUAAUCCAAAUGAAGAGACGCAGCCAAGCUUGGAGCAUCCUCUCUGCUGCUUCCCAAGUAUUUUCUCAGGUAUUAAAGUAGCACUGGACUCAAACUAAGAGGAGUGAUCAAACUAUCUGCUAAAGAACUCAAACAGGAGCCCCAGGAACUGGAAGCUGAACUUCAGAAUCACGAAGAGCACUGUUACUGCAUGAGAAAAAUCUGGAUGAAGACAUGAACUGGAGACAUGUCUACCACACUACAAGAAAUUGAAAGAAUACAAUCCCAUUUGACUCUAAAAAUCUUUCUAGGCUAAUUACCAGCUCACAAAGCAGAGAAAUUAAGGCAGAGAGGGCAUGUUCGUGAUGACAACCUUUACCCAUUAGCAAGCUUUGCGUUUUCCCAAGGCUGAAGACAGUUUAGCUCUGACAAAUCCAAUCAGUGAUAUGCAGGCGUAACCUCCAGAAAUAAGCUCACAUUUUUAGGCUCCACAGGGCAAAAGAUGGACUGCAGUAGGUCACUAUUAAAAAUACAGCUUGGCCAGUGCUGAAAUGGCACAGUUGGCCUGAAGUCGCUUCAAGGUCUCCUGGCAUCUGAGUGUUUCCCCAGUGGCUUUGUGCAGUAAAGUGUUAACUUCUCCUGAGUGGUUAUGUAUUUAAGGCAGUAACUUUAAAAUAAGGAAUUGCAACCUUAGAGCAAAGCUGCUAUUUUGAGAAUUUUAAACCAUUAUUGACUCCUGUCAGAUCAGUUUCUAGACUUAUUGACUCAAGAAGUAAAUAUAGACUGAGAGAAAGCGAGGUCAAGUCAAUAUUUAUCUUGCAGAUCAAUACAUUUUGAUACUAACCAAAAAUUAAGCUCAAUAAAUGCAUAUAUUAUAUACAGCAAGGUUAGGAGAGAUCCAUUCAGAAAAUUUGUCAAUUUGAAAUUUCCCAACGGAAUCUAACCUUUUGGAUUCAAUUUCCAUUAGAAAUUCUGUCCCUUUAAGGUUCCGUAAGUGACUGAUGACGAGCCCCCAUCACCCAAUCAGAUUUCCAGAUGAUAGCUGAAUAGCAGUGAAAGGAAAAGGAAAGAAAGAUGAAGUGAGAAAAAGUUGGUCGCAGGAGCUCAAUCACGGCGUUAGGAGGAGGCAGGAGAACGGAAGAGCUGGCAAGCUGAGACACUACCAGUACUUUGUGGAAACCGACAUAUGAAUUUGUUCUACAAAUGUGCCAGGGACACACUGAUCCAACAGUUAGAUCACUUCCAGAAGACACCGAGUUAGAUCUCCGAGUUCACUUCCAAUUGCUGACUACUACUAUCCAAUAAAAGAAAAUUUCUGCAUAAAGUAAACAAGUUGGAAACGUUCCGGGAUUUCAUCAACAACUUCCCAGUUUGACAACGAGACCCUCGUAACCCAGCAGUGAGUCCCAGUUCCCACCUGGGUGCCUCUGGAGAGUGACAAAUCUCUUGGAUGUGCUCUCACAUCCCAGAAGCACAGGCCAGGAACAUCUGUCUGUUCCUUCCCUUCCUUCAGACUGCCCCGAGGAGAAAGGG